GACAAGGCAAAGACACCAGAAGACAUUCUGCGGGCAUAUGGAAUCCCUUUCCAUAUAAUCAACAUCAUCAAAAGAUUCUAUUUCAACUUUACAUGCAGUGUUGAUCACAGUGAGCUCAGUUUCGAAGUCAAAACAGGAGUAUGUCAGGGUGUGUCAUAUCUGCAAUCCU